ACGGGUGAGUAAUGCCUAGGAAUCUGCCUGGUAGUGGGGGAUAACGUUCGGAAACGAACGCUAAUACCGCAUACGUCCUACGGGAGAAAGCAGGGGACCUUCGGGCCUUGCGCUAUCAGAUGAGCCUAGGUCGGAUUAGCUAGUUGGUGAGGUAAUGGCUCACCAAGGCGACGAUCCGUAACUGGUCUGAGAGGAUGAUCAGUCACACUGGAACUGAGACACGGUCCAGACUCCUACGGGAGGCAGCAGUGGGGAAUAUUGGACAAUGGGCGAAAGCCUGAUCCAGCCAUGCCGCGUGUGUGAAGAAGGUCUUCGGAUUGUAAAGCACUUUAAGUUGGGAGGAAGGGCAGUUACCUAAUACGUGAUUGUUUUGACGUUACCGACAGAAUAAGCACCGGCUAACUCUGUGCCAGCAGCCGCGGUAAUACAGAGGGUGCAAGCGUUAAUCGGAAUUACUGGGCGUAAAGCGCGCGUAGGUGGUUUGUUAAGUUGGAUGUGAAAUCCCCGGGCUCAACCUGGGAACUGCAUUCAAAACUGACUGACUAGAGUAUGGUAGAGGGUGGUGGUAUUUCCUGUGUAGCGG
rnacentral:rRNA from 1 species